AUGGAGGUACCUAACGUCAAGGACUUCCAGUGGAAGCGCCUGGCGCCGCUGCCUAGCCGCCGGGUCUACUGCUCCCUGCUGGAGAGCGGGGGACAGGUCUAUGCCAUCGGGGGAUGUGACGACAACGGCAUCCCCAUGGACUGCUUUGAGGUCUACUCCCCCGAGGCCGACCAGUGGACCGCCCUGCCCCCCCUGCCCACAGCCCGGGCCGGGGUGGCCGCCAUCGCCCUGGGGAAACGGAUCAUGGUGAUCGGGGGUGUGGGCACCAGUCAGCUGCCCCUGAAGGUCGUCGAGAUGUACAACAUCGAUGAGGGCAAGUGGAAGAAGAGGAGCGUGCUGCGCGAGGCCGCCAUGGGCAUUUCUGUCACGGCCAAAGAUUACCGAGUGUACGCGGCAGGCGGGAUGGGCCUGGACCUCCGUCCGCACAGCCACCUCCAACACUAUGACAUGCUCAAGGACAUGUGGGUGUCACUAGCACCCAUGCCCACCCCGAGAUAUGCUGCCACCUCCUUCCUCCGAGGCUGCAAGAUCUAUGUGCUAGGGGGACGACAGUCCAAGUAUGCAGUCAAUGCCUUUGAGGUCUUUGACAUCGAGACUCGCUCCUGGACCAAGUUCCCCAACAUUCCCUGCAAGCGGGCCUUCUCCAGCUUUGUGACCCUGGAUGAUCGCUUGUACAGCCUGGGGGGCCUGCGGCAGGGUCGGCUCUACCGGCAGCCCAAGUUCCUCCGGACGAUGGAUGUGUUCGACAUGGAACAGGGGGGCUGGCUGAAGAUGGAACGCUCGUUCUUCCUCAAGAAGCGGCGGGCAGACUUCGUGGCCGGCUCUCUGAGCGGACGGGUCAUAGUGGCCGGAGGACUCGGGAACCAACCCACGGUCCUGGAGACGGCUGAGGCGUUCCACCCAGUGAAGAACAGGUGGGAGGUCCUCCCCCCCAUGCCCACGCCCCGCUGCGCCUGCUCCAGCAUCCUCCUCAAGAACUGCCUCCUGGCCGUGGGGGGCGUCAACCAGGGUCUGAGCGACGCAGUGGAAGCGCUGUGUGUCUCGGACCCCUAGCUGUCCCCGGGCCCGGUACCUGUGCCCCGGACCAGAUCACUCCACUCUUGACAAGAGAAAUGGUCUCAUCAGAGCCGUUUGGGUGACUUCCUAGGAGGCCAGCUCCUCUCAGCAGCUAGUGGGGUCAGGCCCUGGGGCUCUGAGGGACCUCCCUCCACCGCCACACCAUCCCAAUCCCAGGAAACCGUAAGAAGACACGCUGACUCUGCCAGCCUCCAGCUGGAGCCCAGCUGAGCUCUGGGGAGCCCCCUCCCUUACUGCUCAGGCAGAGAAAGGCGCAGAAGCACCUGCUACCGCCCCUUCCUGUGAGUUCCGCCUCCCCCGGUGCCCAGGGUAGGAGGUAGGUAGGGCAGAAGACAACAGCUAUCCCUGUCUUCUCCCCAGCUCUGCACGAGUUGGAGGGUCUCUUGGGAUGGAAGAUGGUGAAGGCUUGCAAGGAGUCCCAAACGCUUCUUCUCUCCCGUGGUCCACAUGCCUUCCCCAUUUGGCGGUCACCUUCAGGCCUGUCCUAGCCCUCAUCUGCUCAGCAAGAAUUGACCUUGGAGCAGGAGCCGCUGAAUUGGAAGAGAAGUCAGGUUUAAACGGACAGGUCCAGGUCAGCAGCCUUGGCCAGGAAGAGCCCAUGCCUCUCGGGCCCUUGAUGGGAAUGCGGUGAUGAGGAAAGAAGGAGCAGACACCCAGCCCAGGCUCUGCUUCCAGCGUCUCUCCUCACUCACUUUCUCCUUCUGCCACGCCUCCCUGGCCCUUUUGUCCCCAGCGGCCCCGGAGUGUUUCUGUGCAAAACCUUCUCAUGUACACUGUGGCAUCAAAAUCCAUGAAGGCUGGAUUAACUGCACUCGGGUUAACACAGCAGCACAACGAUUAAAAUCUAUAUUCCUAUCCUCUCGGGUAGCUGGUGCAGGGGUGGGGUGGACAGGUGUCUCGACGGGUAGAGGGGACCCCAGGAAACAUUUCCUCUGACAUUCUCAGACUAAAUAGGGCCCCAGGUGACCAGCUGUCCUUGGCUGUUCCCACCAAGGAGGUUCCAUCUCCAAACCAUGGCCCGGCGCGUCAUCUCGCUCCCGGAACAGCUGCAUUUCUUCCUUCUCCUCGGCGUUGAGACUCCACUUGCAAGUUAGGAAAGGCUGUGCUCGAUAGCUGACAUCUUCGCAUCCGGCCUCCACAUCCACAUCCUUCACUCAGCUGAAGUUCGCUCCUGCCUUACCCCAAGGCUCCCCUAUCCGGAUCCAGUGUCCCCGUCCAUGGGAGAAGGGGACUGGAUUGGAGCUACACUUCCAGAUGGGUCUCCAACACCUGUGGGAAGCCUGCUCAGCCCUGGUGACAAACGACCAUCCCACCUUCGUUCUUCUCAUCCACAGCCCCCUCAGGCUGGCCCCUCCCCGAUUUCCGUGGCCACCACCCUUGUCCACACCCUCAUGCUCCUGCAUGAGCACAAGUCGCAGCCUCCCCACUGCGCUGCACCCCCAGCCCUCUCCUCCAGCCCACCCUUCGCAUCGCUGUUAGAGCCUCUGCGCUUUGGAAAUCUCUCUCGUCUCCAAAUCCAACUGUCCUUGCGGAGCUUAGCAUCCCCAGCAGCUCCCCCUACCCUUCAGGGGAUUCCCAGCCUCGGUCUGGGCCUCUGAGGCCUUUGGCACAGGUCCCACCUCCCCACCUCCCCUCUGCCCAGGGUUCCUGCCCUUCGUGUACCUGGUGAAUGCAGCCACCGCACCCACACAUCACCCCCAGACACAAAACUUUCUAGGUUCUCCUCAGGACCACGACAGUGCCAUUCACCCUUGGAGGUUCAGAACAUCACAGCUUGCUGGGCAUGCAGUGUCCAAAUGGAUAACAAAUAAUUGAUGGAAUAAAUGUGUAGCAAACAACAGGACUGAAUGAAGCCAGAAAUCAAAGAGCCGAGAGACAGCACCAACGUUGCGAGUAACCUCUACAAUGGCCCCUCUUCCCCGGAGCCCGUCUACAGCCUGUGGCUGGCACAAAGCAUCAGAGUCAGGAAAUCAGCAGUAUUUCAAAUCCCCUCGCUUAGGGAUCGGGUCCCUUCUCCCUUGGCUGCAGGCUCUGACGGGAGGGAUAGGUCAGGAUUGGGCUUUUCAUAAACUGUGGGGGACAGCCUGCCUGUUAAUCCCGGCUUGUGAUAACAGCCCCCAGCACCAGAUUGUGCUAGCGUCAUUCAGGGCCAAGAGAAAUGCUGGCUCCUGCCUUCCCUUACCGAGGGUCAGGAGCUGGUGACCGGCUCAAGAAUGUGCUUUGUUUGGGGUUUACAUUCCAGGAGCAGCUUGGGAGGCCAAGGGCUCAGGUUGCCAGUGGGAGCCAGACACGGGGCAGGGAGGUGGCACUGGGCAGACCUUCCCCCCCGCCCCCGCAUGCCUCCUAUGCCCUGUCCUGCCUGGUCCUCUCCGGACCACCCACACGAGUGCAGGGGCGCAGCUGUGGAGGCAGAGCCAGGAGGAAGGACACACUCAGCGCCUUCAAGGGAGCAACAUUUAAGUGGAGUGCAGGGUACUGAGUUCUGAGCCGCUGCCGCAAAUGCCCCGCUGCUGGGGAGCCUUUAACAGGCUUCUGUGUUCAGGGUCUCUUUUGACUAAUUAUGAACUGAGACGUAGGGAAACUGAGUCGUCUCUUCCAGGUCAUGUGGCCAGCCAGGCGUCGAGCCAGGUGUAGAACCCCAUCCUCUGACUGCCUUUCUGGGGCUCAUGUACCCCUUGCCUCAUGGACAUCGACAGCCCCUGUACCCCAGGAUCCAA